GAAGGUGUGUGUAUUUACCCUCGUCACAAUAGGUGUCCUCCAGACAGAAGCUGGCUUUGUGUCCCUCUGCCACUUUGGUGCCAUUCAGACUCAGCAAGUCAUAGUGGGUGAAAACCUCCAUACUAUGCAUUUACAGCAGGAGCACAGGGGAGAAAGCCUAAUUGCCAGCAAGAUAUAGGGAUUUUCAGGACAGCCGGCUAUGGACUGGUGUGCAGCCCGCGGCCUGAAGUCUGACUGGCCGUUGUUGUGGAUCUGGGAGGAGAAGCGGAGAAGGCGGCGGUAGGAGCUGGGGUCGGCUUUGUCAGCAGUGCUGGAAAGGCAGUUCUC